AAUUUUCACACCCUCUCUCUCUCUCUCUCACAAGCCUGAGGCAAGCCAUAGGGACCGGAGAGAAGCAUGUUGCGGAACAGAUCAUGCUCACCAUUGCUGCUUCUUUUUGGGGCUUUUGUGUUCUCUCUCCUUCUCCGCACAUCCUCUUCACCAACCACUUUAGCUUUGCAUCUUCAGACUCUAAAUAUUCCUGGGGCUGUUAGUGAGAGGGUGAAUGGUAUAUUUGUACCAUGGGAGACAAGAAGGCAUCUUGAAGAAGAGAACUCGAACUCCACUUUGAUAUUGGCUGCACAAAGAACUCGAAGGAAAGACCCUUUGGAUAACCUUAAUCUUUAUACUGGCGGCUAUAAUAUCAGCAAUAAACAUUACUGGGCUUCUGUUAGUUUAACUGCGGCUCCCUUCUUUAUCAUUGCUGGAAUUUGGUUUGUGCUCUUUGGACUGUCCUUGGCCUUUAUCUGUCUCUGUUACUGCUGCUGUAGAAGAGAACCAUAUGGCUAUUCUCGAAUGUGCUAUGCCCUCUCUCUCAUUUUCCUCAUUUUCUUCACAGUUGCAGCAAUUGUGGGGUGUGUUGUUCUCUAUACUGGUCAAGAGAAGUUUCACAGCAUUACUACACAUACACUGGAUUAUGUUGUGAACCAGGCAAAUGUUACUGCUGAAAACCUCAGGAAUGU
rnacentral:misc_RNA from 1 species